rnacentral:rRNA from 2 species
UGCACCGAAGCUGCGGCAGCGACACUGUGUGUUGUUGGGUAGGGGAGCGUUCUGUAAGCCUGUGAAGGUGUGUCGUGAGGCAUGCUGGAGGUAUCAGAAGUGCGAAUGCUGACAUAAGUAACGAUAAAGCGGGUGAAAAGCCCGCUCGCCGGAAGACCAAGGGUUCCUGUCCAACGUUAAUCGGGGCAGGGUGAGUCGACCCCUAAGGCGAGGCCGAAAGGCGUAGUCGAUGGGAAACGGGUUAAUAUUCCCGUACUUGGUGUUACUGCGAAGGGGGGACGGAGAAGGCUAUGUUGGCCGGGCGACGGUUGUCCCGGUUUAAGCGUGUAGGUGUGUGUUCCAGGUAAAUCCGGUUCACUUUAACACUGAGGCGUGACGACGAGGCACUACGGUGCUGAAGCAACAAAUGCCCUGCUUCCAGGAAAAGCCUCUAAGCAUCAGGUAACAUCAAAUCGUACCCCAAACCGACACAGGUGGUCAGGUAGAGAAUACCAAGGCGCUUGAGAGAACUCGGGUGAAGGAACUAGGCAAAAUGGUGCCGUAACUUCGGGAGAAGGCACGCUGACACGUAGGUGAAGUGAUUUACUCAUGGAGCUGAAGUCAGUCGAAGAUACCAGCUGGCUGCAACUGUUUAUUAAAAACACAGCACUGUGCAAACACGAAAGUGGACGUAUACGGUGUGACGCCUGCCCGGUGCCGGAAGGUUAAUUGAUGGGGUCAGCGCAAGCGAAGCUCCUGAUCGAAGCCCCGGUAAACGGCGGCCGUAACUAUAACGGUCCUAAGGUAGCGAAAUUCCUUGUCGGGUAAGUUCCGACCUGCACGAAUGGCGUAAUGAUGGCCAGGCUGUCUCCACCCGAGACUCAGUGAAAUUGAACUCGCUGUGAAGAUGCAGUGUACCCGCGGCAAGACGGAAAGACCCCGUGAACCUUUACUAUAGCUUGACACUGAACAUUGAGCCUUGAUGUGUAGGAUAGGUGGGAGGCUUUGAAGUGUGGACGCCAGUCUGCAUGGAGCCGACCUUGAAAUACCACCCUUUAAUGUUUGAUGUUCUAACGUGGACCCGUUACCCGGGUUGCGGACAGUGUCUGGUGGGUAGUUUGACUGGGGCGGUCUCCUCCUAAAGAGUAACGGAGGAGCACGAAGGUUGGCUAAUCCUGGUCGGACAUCAGGAGGUUAGUGCAAUGGCAUAAGCCAGCUUGACUGCGAGCGUGACGGCGCGAGCAGGUGCGAAAGCAGGUCAUAGUGAUCCGGUGGUUCUGAAUGGAAGGGCCAUCGCUCAACGGAUAAAAGGUACUCCGGGGAUAACAGGCUGAUACCGCCCAAGAGUUCAUAUCGACGGCGGUGUUUGGCACCUCGAUGUCGGCUCAUCACAUCCUGGGGCUGAAGUAGGUCCCAAGGGUAUGGCUGUUCGCCAUUUAAAGUGGUACGCGAGCUGGGUUUAGAACGUCGUGAGACAGUUCGGUCCCUAUCUGCCGUGGGCGCUGGAGAACUGAGGGGGGCUGCUCCUAGUACGAGAGGACCGGAGUGGACGCAUCACUGGUGUUCGGGUUGUCAUGCCAAUGGCACUGCCCGGUAGCUAAAUGCGGAAGAGAUAAGUGCUGAAAGCAUCUAAGCACGAAACUUGCCCCGAG